AAAAAGGUAAGCUAUUCUAAGCUAUUAGGUUCAUACCCUAAAUAAGGAAUUAAUAUUCUUCUUUUUA
rnacentral:tRNA from 1 species